GGUAAUGUUUGCCGACCUCUCCUUCCUACCUUUUUCGCUGAAAAAUAUUUAAUUUUAUUUAUUUUCUUUCUUUUCGCCCAAGUAACUUACAAUAUUCAAAGUGUUGAAUUUUUCUCACAAACUAUAAAUGUUAUCUUUAUUAUUAAUUAUAAUAAUAAUAAUUUAGCUGAUGAAUUUCACAAGCUAUUCAGUGAAUUCCAUCUCCGUAUCAACGCCGUCGUCUCGAGAUCUCCGUUGCUUUGUUUGAUCGUUUGUUUCUCAGUUAUCCCUGUAUCCUUUGUUCUUUCUCCGAGACGACGACAAAGAUAAAGACGACGGCGUUUGAUCUAUGAAAGAGGAGGUGAAUUAAAUUAGCGCGUAAGUUACCUUUGUACAAAGGGAAAUUUGUUGACUUGACAUCAACAUUAUGGAGAGAACGUGCUUCUACCGAGAUGGCCACUCAUUGCAGAAUUUGGUUUUGCAUUUCGUUCUCCAUGAUGCGGCUUCUCAGAAAUUUGUUAUGACAGACCUGUGCUAUACUAGUUUAGGAUUUAGUCUUUCUGUUAGAAAUUUGUAAAUAGUAGUUGCCUGUAGAUAAAUGGAGUCAAACUGGGUUGAAGUGUUAGAUAAUGACCGUAGGACAGCUGACGUCGACUCAAAAAGUAAAGUAGCGUCUCAGUACGUGGCACGUAUAGUUGGAGCUGGCACUGAGAAGCUGGAGGAGCUAUCAUUUCAACCAAAUUGUAGCUCAUUUUAUAGCACGCUUGGUAAGAGGAAGAGGACUGUGGAAGGUGAAACUAAUUGCAGAUCACAUCUCAGGAAAUCGACAGUUAAGAACUACUCAAAUUUCAUUAAAAGUGGACUGCCACAACGUGUUUUAUAUCAUCAGAAUGGUGAAUGGAAUGAUUUCCCUCAAGAUAUUGUUCGUAUUGUCAAAGAAGAUUUCCGUGCAAAGAAGGCUGUGAUUGAGGUGAACUUUGGUGGCUUUCAUGUAAUACUUGAUAUUCUAUAUAUGGUUCAGGUAAAUUUGGUUACCGGAUUGGAGAAACCUAUUGCCUGGAUAGACGAAGCAGGUGGCUGUUUCUUCCCUGAUUUAUGUCUCGUUAGUUGUAAAGCGCACGACAACAUUGAGAUACAAUCGCAGAGAACUGAAGGAUUCAGUGCUGCUGAGCCAGAUAGGGCUACUAAUAUCAAGUUGCAUCUUGAAAUAGAUAUUAAUGGACCGAACAAUUGCAAAUUGGAUGAAGGUAUGGAAGAGUCAAAUGUCCGUGUUAAAAGGAUUAAAGUCGAUCCUUUAAAAGAUAAUCAACAAUUUGCUGUUGAUCAAAAAUCAUAUCCUAAAAUGGAAGUAGUGGCAGAAAAUCAACAGGAUCAGGAAAGUCUGUCUCCUAUAUUAGAAGAUACACUUAAGUUGGUGGAUGCAGAAUCGGUUAAAACUAUGUUUGUUAAGGGAAUGAAUACCAUCUAUAUGGUGGAUAUAGUCAAAAUUAGUCAAUGCUCAAGUAAAUAUAUGAGAAAUCGCUUGGAACUGUUUGAGAAGCAGGCUGAGAUAACUCAAAAGUAUCGUGGGAAAUCCAAUGUUCGGCAUGCUUGGCUUGCCGCUUCCAAAGAGGUAGUAUCUACAAUUAUGAACUAUGGGCUUAUGCAUGGGGCCUGUGGACAGAAGACUAAGCUUGGUGUUGGAGUGCACCUCAUUGCCCAGGACUGUGCCUCUAAAAGUGCCGCUAGCUGUGAUAUUGACGAAAAUGGCAUCCGUUACAUGGUUCUUUGUCGUGUCAUUUUGGGCAAUGAAGAACUUUUGCAUUUUGGCUCUCAUCAAUCUUAUCCAAGCAAUGAGAGAUAUGAUAGUGGUGUUGAUGAUCUCGAGAGUCCUACUCACUAUACUGUUUGGAACAUGAAUAUGAAUACACACAUAUAUCCUGAAUAUGUCGUGAGCUUCAGGAUGUCUUCAGGAGCAGAAGGGGCUCCAAUAAAGGAAGAAAGUCGGCUUGAUGUCUCCAGAGUUACUUCUCAGGGAUCUGAGGAGCGAUUGGACUUGAAUAAAUUGCCUACAGAAUUGGGGAACUGUCAGCAAUAUCAAUUUGUAAGAAACAUACAGCAAUCCCAUGGUGUUGGUGUGGGUACCAAUAAAUCACCUAAAUCCCCCUGGAUGCCUUUCUCUAUGUUAUUCGGAGCUAUUUCAGCUAAAGUGUCUCCAAAAGAUUUGAAAUUGGUUCAUGCACAUUAUGACUUGUUCAGGAGCAAAAAAAUUUCCCGGAAUGAUUUCAUUAGAAGGCUGAGGUUGAUAGUGGGUGAUCAGUUAUUGAAGUCUACCAUAACCAAUCUCCAGUGUAAGAUGUACGGGUGGAACUUGUUAAGUCUCGUCCCAUGACGUGACUUCUCUUGGUGACACAUUUUCCUGGGUUUAUUUUAUUAGUCUGGUUGGUAUAGGUCUUUACACGACUUAUUAGUACAUCUAUUUGGGCCUUCCCUUUGUUGCUGUAUUCUCUGUCGUCUCUUUUGCUUCUUUUAUGUGGUGGGAUUUAUAUAUUCUACUCUUGCCGCCUUCCGCAUCUCCAUGCUUUCUGAAUGUGCCGAGUGGGGAGAGUAAUUGUUGAGGCUGUACCAGCAAGGGUGGAUCGCUGCGUGGUGGCGAAGAGUCCACUUUUACCAAUCAAGCGUCGUCCUCUUCUCUCUAUCUCUCUUUGUUUUUGGUGUUAUGUAGCUUUAGUUUCUUUGAACAUUUUGUGAUUAUAUGCAGUUAUGUCUAGACUUGCACCUUCUGUUCUUCUAUAUAUGCGACUUCCAAUUCUCUCCCGUCUGUGAUGGCAAUAAUUGGUGCACAGCAGGAGUUACUGGAGCUUAAAUUGGUUUUAGGUUGGCAUCUUGAAAGUGCUGCUAGUCGGUUUAAUCAUGGUUUGAAGAGAAUAAAACUGUAGCAAACAUCGGUGGCGUUGUAUUUUAACAAAAACUUAGGCAUUGUACUGUUAUCACUUUGAAGCUGAGGGGUGAAAUUUUUCCUUUGAGUUUUCGCAUUAUUAUGUUUCUAAUUCACUUGCCUAAAAAUUCUUGAACAUUGUUAUAAUAGCCUUCUGGUAUGAACUUGUAAUAUUUCACUGGUACAAUAUGAAUUUCUCUAGAA